rnacentral:rRNA from 1 species
AUUGAACGCUGGCGGCAGGCCUAACACAUGCAAGUCGAGCGGAUGAAGGGAGCUUGCUCCUGGAUUCAGCGGCGGACGGGUGAGUAAUGCCUAGGAAUCUGCCUGGUAGUGGGGGAUAACGUCCGGAAACGGGCGCUAAUACCGCAUACGUCCUGAGGGAGAAAGUGGGGGAUCUUCGGACCUCACGCUAUCAGAUGAGCCUAGGUCGGAUUAGCUAGUUGGUGGGGUAAAGGCCUACCAAGGCGACGAUCCGUAACUGGUCUGAGAGGAUGAUCAGUCACACUGGAGCUGAGACACGGUCCAGACUCCUACGGGAGGCAGCAGUGGGGAAUAUUGGACAAUGGGCGAAAGCCUGAUCCAGCCAUGCCGCGUGUGUGAAGAAGGUCUUCGGAUUGUAAAGCACUUUAAGUUGGGAGGAAGGGCAGUAAGUUAAUACCUUGCUGUUUUGACGUUACCAACAGAAUAAGCCCCGGCUAACUUCGUG